CAUAUAGUGUUGUGGUCGCAAAGCCAAACACGAAUACGGCUGAAGAGGGUAAAAAGAGUGGUGUGGGUGGUGCAGUUGGCGGCGCAGGUAUCGGUGUUGGAAUUGAUUGGAUAACAAAAUCAAUCGCGAACUCAAAUGCGUGCAGCGAGAAAGCCGGUUGUCACAAAAGCUAUUGUUGGGCAUGGUGCGGUGUCAGUCUCACAGGUGGAGAAUGGUGCUACACGACUCGAUCAUAUUCACAAAGUUUCCAAUAUGUCACAUGUAACCAAGAUUCUGACUGUGAUAAAUGUUGGAAAUGCGCUGGAUCGUGCACACUUUAAAUGUGGACGCCGAAAACAAAAAGUUACGAAAAAGGUUCAUAAGUUUUCGUUCGGAAAUGCAAUGCGGUUCGAUUUUUCAUGCAUUCAAUUUAAAGUUUUGUUUAAUGUAAUCUUUUGUGAAUGAUUUUGAUUUUGUUGAAUAAAUCGAUUGGAAAUUUAAUGGUUUUAAUUAAAA